GACGAACGCUGGCGGCGUGCUUAACACAUGCAAGUCGAACGGAAAGGCCCUGCUUUUGUGGGGUGCUCGAGUGGCGAACGGGUGAGUAACACGUGAGUAACCUGCCCUUGACUUUGGGAUAACUCCAGGAAACUGGGGCUAAUACCGGAUAGGAGCUCCUGCUGCAUGGUGGGGGUUGGAAAGUUUCGGCGGUUGGGGAUGGACUCGCGGCUUAUCAGCUUGUUGGUGGGGUAGUGGCUUACCAAGGCUUUGACGGGUAGCCGGCCUGAGAGGGUGACCGGCCACAUUGGGACUGAGAUACGGCCCAGACUCCUACGGGAGGCAGCAGUGGGGAAUAUUGCACAAUGGGCGGAAGCCUGAUGCAGCAACGCCGCGUGCGGGAUGACGGCCUUCGGGCUGUAAACCGCUUUCGCCUGUGACGAAGCGUGAGUGACGGUAAUGGGUAAAGAAGCACCGGCUAACUACGUG
rnacentral:rRNA from 1 species